UAUUUUUAAAACACAUGUAGCUACGCAUCAUUCAAGAAUCUCUCCAGAGAUACAGUUGAUUGACAGUUUAAAUUUUUAGUUAGCUAAGUGUAAUUAGUAGGACUCAGAUAUGACUAGUAGGUUAACUGUUUAUUUACUGGCAAUUUCUGUUGUUAAAAUCUCACUUUCUAUUUUUUUAUAUGGUCUAUAUGCUAUUACUGUAAUAGUCCAAUUAUUUCUGACACACAAAUGGGUACCUGGAUUCUGUCCCAAAAGUUGUGUGACUAUAGUAUAUCACAAACAAGAUAAAAUUUUCAGAAAGCUAUGGAAAGACUGACUUGUUCAUUCAUUCAACAAACAGUUCUUGAACCCUGGCCAGUAAUGAGACACCAUGGUAAGCACCAGGCAAGUAGAGAAACAGGGCGCCUUCCCUGUCUUUGAGGAGCUGACAGAGGCAGAGAGAGAUGUUAAUAAGGAACGAAGUAGAAUAAGGUAAGAGCUUUAUUAGAAGUUCACAGUAAGGGGACCAGGACUCAAGAAGCCACUGACUCACUGGAGGAAGAGUGCUAGACGAGGGGUUCAGAAGAAGGAGAGGGCACACCUUUGAGGAGCUCAGGAAAGUGUUAAGAGGACCUUUUGAAGGAUGGGCAGGAUUUGCUAAGAAAGGAAUAUUCCAGGAAGCAGUUAGUGACCUUACAGAGCUCAAACAUUGUGAUGUGUACUCUCACAUCAUUUGACCCUCUCAACAAACUUGUGUGAUAUGGUGUACAUUCUUAUUCCCAAGUUGCAUCAGAGGACCUAUGAGUCAGUGGGGUCAAGGGACUUGUCCAAGGUCUCAGAGCUGAGUGGGGUGGCUCCCAGGGCAGCCCAUGCCUCACACUUCAGUGAAUGGUGCCCACGGGGAAGGUUUUGUGUGGAACACGGUGGUAAAAUGGCAGCUGAGACAGGCAGGUCUGACUUCUGGUGUCCUUUGCAUUAUAUUAAUCUGCUAUGAUAUUUUUCACUUAAGAUGAAAUGGAUUAAAAUGAAGACACACUAAAGAGAGCCAGGCCUGACUAUUAAAUGUUCCUCAUCAGCUCUGCAGAGAGGAGAAUACGCUGCAGAAAUGAGGACUCCACAGAGGAGGACGCUCAUCAAGGGAAGAGAUGCUCCCACGCAACAGCAUGUAGGCAAUUGCUUGGUACACAGAACCUGUGCAAGAGCGAAUUAAGAGCGGCAUUUCACAGUGGGUGAGGGCAGCAUGGCUUCACGGAGAAGGGCGCAUUCUCUCUCAAGUGCCGCAAAGACAUGGCGCUUCAUGUCCCAAAUGUCUGGCUUCUCAUCUUGACUCUGGCAGGUCCUAGAGAUCUUCAGAUGAACGAAUAAGGAAGCUACUAGCUUAACCCAGUGGAACCCAGGUGACUAUCUGAUGAAAAACCUUGUACCAGGGAAGCCAGACCAAUGAAGUAGCUCCAAAAUGGAGCCACGAACACCCCUGUGCCUUCCUGGGUGCCCCCUGUCCACCUGAAUCCGAGAGAUCUGUCCCUUCUGUUCCUCUCCAGUACUUUAACAUCCUGGGCAAUAUGGUAGACCAGACAGAUGAACGAGUGAGCA